rnacentral:rRNA from 1 species
UGCACCUGGUGGCGAGUGGCGAACGGGUGAGUAAUACAUCGGAACGUACCUUAUCGUGGGGGAUAACGCAGCGAAAGCUGUGCUAAUACCGCAUACGCCCUGAGGGGGAAAGCGGGGGAUCGAAAGACCUCGCGCGAUUAGAGCGGCCGAUGCCUGAUUAGCUUGUUGGUGGGGUAAAAGCCCACCAAGGCGACGAUCAGUAGCUGGUCUGAGAGGACGAUCAGCCACACUGGGACUGAGACACGGCCCAGACUCCUACGGGAGGCAGCAGUGGGGAAUUUUGGACAAUGGGGGAAACCCUGAUCCAGCAAUGCCGCGUGAGUGAAGAAGGCCUUCGGGUUGUAAAGCUCUUUUGUCAGGGAAGAAACACCGGCUCUAACACAGUCCGGGAAUGACGGUACCUGAAGAAUAAGCACCGGCUAACUACGUGCCAGCAGCCGCGGUAAUACGUAGGGUGCGAACGUUAAUCGGAAUUACUGGGCGUAAAGCGUGCGCAGGCGGUUAUACAAGACAGGCGUGAAAUCCCCGGGCUUAACCUGGGAAUGGCGCCUGUGACUGUAUAGCUAGAGUGUGUCAGAGGGGGGUAGAAUUCCACGUGUAGCAGUGAAAUGCGUAGAUAUGUGGAGGAAUACCAAUGGCGAAGGCAGCCCCCUGGGAUAACACUGACGCUCAUGCACGAAAGCGUGGGGAGCAAACAGGA